rnacentral:lncRNA from 1 species
UUCCUUUUUCUUUCUUUUUUCCUUUUUUUUUUGUACGACAAAUCGACAAUAUGAUCUGCAAACCUAGACAUGAAUUAGUUUGAUAGCAGUAAUUUCAACUCAAAUUCAGUUUUUAAUUAAUGGAAUGUUUAAUAUUCUGUUUGCAUUUACAUAUCAGACAACUGUAUUGGGAUGGAUUAAGCUUAGGAUUGAAGAGUUGGUUUAUAACUUCGCAAUAGCUUUAUUUGUUAAUGUCCUGAUAUUGAUGCACAAACAUAUAAUUGGUCGAAGUUUCAACAUCUGUUGCUAUACAUGGUUAAUGUAAUUGUCAGAUUUGUACAUAGGCUUCUCUUUUUACCUUUUUUUAUACUCUGUUGUGGUUUCUAAUGGGAAGUUUGAGACCGCUUUUCUAAUUUUGGUUUGUCUUGCAUGUUGGUUAUGCAUGAGAUUGAUUGUGGCUAUUUUGUGAAGGUUUUGUGAUAGAUUCCAGAUUUUGGCUUUGAAAUUGUAUGCGUAGCUCCAAUUCUUAGACUAUAUUUCAUACUACUAUAUUAGAAAUAUUUGAAAGAGAAGAAUCAAAUUAGUGUUUGAGGAAUCAAUAAUAAGGAGCCAAAGGGUGCCGACCAAAAACUGGGUUAGAUAUUUACUUAUCUAUAUUUUACUUGCAUGUUAAUGAUUUGGUUUAUAUUGAAUGCUGCCAAUGUAUUAGUAUUUUGGUAUUGCGUAGUUAUUAAUUGUAUAGGAUUGCAGUUUACUACAAUGAAAACAAGGUGUGCCUGUCUAUUUGGUUAUUGUGUCUGUUUUAAGAUUUUAAUGUUUAUAGCAUUUUGAAAUAUAUUAUGUAUUUCAAUUUUAAUUUUUGAAAUUAGCUACGUUUUUUGGGUUAUUUCUUUUAAAUUUUGUUGAGCAUAUGAUUUUUGUUACAAUGGUGAUAGUUGCAGUCCUUUGAUUAUAAUUUAAGUUGAGUUGCUGCUAUCCUACCGUUACGGAAUCAGGGCCGUUGAGCUUUGUUACAAAUUAAUGAAAACAUCAGUAUCAAUUGUUUGAUUGGGGUUGAUAAUUUUUGUUCUGUUUUCAGUGUUGGUUCUUUCACUAUCUGCAAUCAAUCUCAUUCUCUCAAGUGCUUAUCGGUUCCUUUGGUUGGAUUAGCUGUUUAAGUUUUUUGGUUUGGUUUGCAUUUUGGUAAUCUUUUAGGUUUAAUCAAAUUGGGUGUCUGACUGUUUUGCAGACGUUUCUUUCUGUUUUUCCGGUGGUGAUCCCCAGUGUCAGGACAGGUAUUUACUUUAUCUUUUUUUUUACUUGCAAGUUAAUGGUUUGGUUUGUAUUGGAAAAGCUUUCAAUGUAUUAAUAUUUUUGGUUUUGGUGAGGUUUGUGGUGAGUACUUUUUAAUUUCGUAUUAUUUGAUGUGCCUAGCUGAAUGGUUAUGGGUGUGUCUGUUUUAGGAAUAUUGAUGUUUAGACAAGAUUUUAAUAUCUAUCACAUAUUUUAAUUUACACUUUGGAUGUCAUCUGGUCAUGCAUUUUGUUUUGGUGUUGUUUUAAUUACAUUUGGUAUCGCAAUUGACCAUACAAUGACAAAUUUUGCAUAAUGGUACAGGGAAAAAAGACAGAUAUUUUUUAUCUGUGUAUCAUACUUGAGUUUAAACAACAAACAAUGCAAAGGUAUAAUUGCAGUUGUCCACAUAAUAUAAAUUCUUCCAAAAUGGUGUAAAAAUGAGGAUGAAUGUUUGUUACGUAAUUUUAAAUAACAAACAAUGCAAAGGUUUACUGCAUCAAAAACUGAAGUUAAAUAGAUUGGCCAAUAAAGUAGAUGGAAUCUGACACCGGUCCAAUAUCUAAGACAUGUUUAUAAAUCGAUGUUACUGCAAGUGGAUUUUAGUUUGGAACUUUUUAUGUGUAUUACAAUAGUUUUUUUUUUGGGUUACCCAGCAGAACAAAGUAUUUGAUUGAGUGAGAGAUUGCGUAUGUUUGUUUUUAAAUUGACAGCUUCUAUAAUAUUCGCUUCUGGAUAUUCAGGGCCAAAAAAAAAUUAUAAUCAUGAUGAUAUUAAUAUAAUUUGGUACAUUGAAGUGUUAAAAAAAACCUGCUAUUGAUUUAGUGCAUUGGUUUGAUUUGGUGUGGGGAUACAAAUUCAUCUUGCAGCCUACUAGAUUUCAGGCAUUUGAGUUGUUUUGGUAGUUACAAUGGCAUCGCUUAAAAUAUAAUUUGGUAAAAGAAUGCAUGUUUUAACAUGGUGCUGUUAAUGUUAGUUCAGAUUGUUAUUCAGACAAGUGGUGAUGUGUGCUAUUAUUGGGCUCAUUGAUUUGAGAUUGUUUGAUGAUAUUGCCAUUUCAAUUCAGAUUGCGUUGAAUCUAGCUAUAAGUUCUUUGUUUAUUCUUUUUUUAAAUACUUUUUGGACAGUUGUUAAUCCAAUUUUUACUGUUCUGUAUUGUUGCCAUUGAUUUUUAUGAACUGUUAUUAUUUUAUUGAUGCAUUGUUAUUCAUGUGAAUAUUUGUUGGCACUACAGGUUAAGAGAAAACUUAAGGCUUUAUUACAAAAGUAAGGAUAAUUAUUUUGAUGGUUUGCUGUUAUGUCAUCAGACAUGUUUGUUGUACUUUACAUUUUGUGC